rnacentral:rRNA from 1 species
AACGAACGCUGGCGGCAUGCCUAACACAUGCAAGUCGAACGAGACCUUCGGGUCUAGUGGCGCACGGGUGCGUAACGCGUGGGAACCUGCCCUUAGGUUCGGAAUAACUCCCCGAAAGGGGUGCUAAUACCGGAUAAUGUCUUCGGACCAAAGAUUUAUCGCCUUUGGAUGGGCCCGCGUUGGAUUAGCUAGUUGGUAGGGUAAAAGCCUACCAAGGCGACGAUCCAUAGCUGGUCUGAGAGGAUGAUCAGCCACACUGGGACUGAGACACGGCCCAGAAUCGUACGGGAGGCAGCAGUGGGGAAUAUUGGACAAGGGGGGAAAGCCUGAUCCAGCAAUGCCGGGGGAGUGAUGAAGGCGUUAGGGUUGUAAAGCUCUUUUACACGGGAUGAUAAUGACAGUACCGGGAGAAUAAGCUCCGGCUAACUCCGUG